UGUAUGCGGCAAUUCAUUACAACUGAUGUGCCUAUAGCACUAAAUGGGUUACAGAGUAUCUAUAAUCUAAAUGUCGGGAGUUCAAGUGAAAUUUUGCACUGUGGUCAAAGGAAAAGGAAUACAUGUAUCUACCUAUUAGCAUCCCUGAUCUCCCCCCAAAACUAUGAACAUUGUGCAAUAAUUGGAUACAUAACCUUGGAAAUUAAUCUUUUGUUUUUGAACGGCAUUUUGAGAAAGAGUCUUUUAAAGAGGAUAUCAGGCUAAUCCAUUUUCUUUUGGAAACCAAUGAAAACUCAUAUGCAGAACCUAUUGACCAACCUGGACUAUCAGCAUCUAAGGAAACAGCUCAUUGAAGACAUGAAUAGUGACAAAAAUACCCCACUCUCAAUCCAAAUUGAAUAAUAAAUCAACUUUGCGCAACAUAUACAGAUAGAAUUGCCCAGUCAUUGUCCGUCACAUGUGCUAAGGAAUGUUCAAGUGAAGAAUUUUAUGAAGUGAAGAUAAUGAACUGUAUAAAGAAUACAAAAUUAAAAGUUGAAGAAUUAAGAGUGUCGUUUUCAUCAUUUUAUCCCAAUGAACUAGUGUUUUCAU